rnacentral:rRNA from 1 species
UACAGAGGGUGCGAGCGUUGUCCGGAAUCACUGGGCGUAAAGGGCGCGUAGGUGGCGGCCCAAGUCCAUGGUGAAAGCUCGAUGCUCAACAUCGAGUCGGCCACGGAUACUGGGUUGCUCGAGCACUGUAGGGGCAGAUGGAAUUCCGGGUGUAGCGGUGGAAUGCGUAGAGAUCCGGAAGAACAUCGGUGGCGAAGGCGCUCUGCUGGACCAUAACUGACACUCAGGGACGAAAGCUAGGGGAGCGAAUGGG